GCAUGACAGAAUUCUGCAUUAGCUCGUCUAUAGUUAAAGCAGUCAGACAUCAUGCUAGAGUAUUUUCACUUGAAUGAAAUUGGUGCUCUGCCCUGUCACAGCAACAUUCAGAAGGUGAAUACAAGG